rnacentral:rRNA from 1 species
GACAGAGGGGGCAAGCGUUGCUCGGAAUCACUGGGCGUAAAGGGCGCGUAGGCGGGAUGGCAAGUCGGUCGUGAAAUCCUUCGGCUCAACCGAAGAACGUCGGCCGAUACUGCCGUUCUUGAGGGAUGCAGAGGAGAUUGGAAUUCCCGGUGUAGCGGUGAAAUGUGUAGAGAUCGGGAGGAACACCGGUGGCGAAGGCGGGUCUCUGGGCAUCUCCUGACGCUGAGGCGCGAAAGCGUGGGGAGCAAGCAGG